UGUGCACAGAAUUGUCUCUGAACUCCAGCCUCCUUGUGCAGACCGAGCCAUGAAUGUCUCCUUUCCUUUAAGCUUCUGAACACUGAAUCCUCUCCUGAAGAUGACUUACCGAAUUGAAAGAGGAAAAGAAACGUAAGGAUACAAGUCUGGACAAUGAACAUAGUCAUGAAAGCAUAUGCUCUGUUUUCACAGACACUAAUUACAAAGAAGGCCUGGAUCCAGGAGGGGGACCCACUCAAAUAGAC